rnacentral:misc_RNA from 1 species
UACGGAGGAUCCAAGCGUUAUCCGGAAUCAUUGGGUUUAAAGGGUCCGUAGGCGGUCUUAUAAGUCAGUGGUGAAAGCCCAUCGCUCAACGAUGGAACUGCCAUUGAUACUGUAAGACUUGAAUGCUUGUGAAGUAACUAGAAUAUGUAGUGUAGCGGUGAAAUGCUUAGAUAUUACAUGGAAUACCAAUUGCGAAGGCAGGUUACUAACAAGUUAUUGACGCUCAGGUGCGAAAGCGUGGGGAGCAAACAGG